CUUGUAAAUGUUUUAUAAACCAGUACUGCGAAGUAGCGAAAUUUCGGGCCGUCUUUCACAACAAAUAACAUCACAAUAACUGCACAUCAUUUUCUCUUUAAUACAGAACCAUUUUCCCCGUCCAUUGAGUUAUAAUUUCCAAAACGAACCAGUCGCUAUAACGUAAAAUAAGCGGGUAUUUGUGAACAAAAAUGCCCUUUGAUAUGACACGAGGUAACCAGCGCCAUCUUAUCUUCUCCAAACAUUACAGAAUUUCCCGCCAAAACCCGCCCCCAAAGUCCCGUAUGUACCUGACGUCACACGUGUCAUAGACGGGGGGGGGGGGGACUACCACAUCUGGUGGUAAAAAUUUUUCAAAAAUACGCACUAAAUCCAAUUUUAAUCUCUUUACCUUCGCUACUUUUGCUUUCCACAUGCCAACAAAACUAGCUUCUUAGCACAUACAUAGCAUACGCUUUAUAAAAUACUUAAAAAAAUGGACCUAAACAAUAUUGGAGCGACAACAAUUUUGGAAAGUUUCUCCGGAAAUUUUUCUCACUUGAUGAAAAAACUUUUUCAGCUCUUUUUUUCUUUUCUUUUUUUCACAUUAUUGUACGUUGGAACAGCACUAUAGUAUCAAUAGUAUCAAUAUAUAUGUAGCCUUAGAAUGUUAUAUAUUUUAUGGCAAUAUUUUAUAAAAAUUUCAUCGGCAAGUUGCUGAAUAUUUCAAAAGUAUCAACAAUUAAUAACGUUUCCAAGACCUCUCUGAAAAUCGGAAGCAAGUCAUUAAAAUGAUAUAAUUAUAUGUUCUAUUUCAUUUCAAAAAGCAAACAAAUGUUCCUCUUUUGUUACGAUAGCACUGAAUAUUUCUGAAUAUUGUUGGAAAGAAUUCCUCUUAUCAAAACAAUAACUUUGGACAAUAAAACAGCUUUGAACAAUUUGGGUGAAAUGAAGGAAAAUUUUCAUAUCAUUUGUGUGUACUAGUACUAACAAUACACAACUACUGUAAGGGGAAGAGCAUGCACUGUCAUUCAAUGAAUAAAUCAGAUUACCUGCUCAUAUGUGUAGUUAACCUAUUAAAGUAAGCUGCACUGUCGUGCCCAUAUUGUGCUCCAUAUAAAACAUAGCCAGAGAUGGGCUUGGAAAAAUUGCAUGUACAGUACAUUAUACUUUUAUUUUUGCUAUCUAAAUUUGAU